GUGAGUUACAGCGAAUUAUAUAUAGUGUUUGAAGCCACCGCGCCCACAUCUUGGCACUCCUAUCAUAGUAAAAAAAUGUGUUGGAAGUAAUAGAAAUACAUUUAUUAAUGUCUACAUUUAUUUUUGCCAUGUUUAUUCUAUUAGUCACCUUAAUGCAUACUUUAAAUUAUAUUAUGUGAGCUUAACAUAAAAUAUAUAGAUGUUUAGUUUCCCCUUAAAGUAUACAUUUUAGAAAAUACACAUUUUAUUGUCCCCACUACAACAACAAAAAUACAUGCAAUUUUGUCUUUGAAACAUUUCAUUGAAAUCCUUUGAAUUCCAUUGGCAGACUGAUUCUUCUGGGGAGUGCCAAUAUGGCCGACCUGUGGCUUCAAAGCCGCUCAUUGGCUAAUACAUAGCAUCUUCAAAUCAGGGUUUAUAUGGGUUUUUCUAUAAACUAGGGUUCCAGUGAGGAUUUCCUACACUGGACAACUUGUUACAGCUGUUCCUGUGUCUGUUCAACCUGGUCCCAGCCCUGAAUGCAGAGGGCUCCGACAGCACCCGACUCCCACCGGCCCUGACUCAGAAACAGCCUCUCUAUACGGCCCUGGGUCAUCAGCCUGACUAGGGGCCAACAGGCCAAGGCAGCAUAGCACCUGGACACCUCUAGGAGUCCUGUCAGUGGACACCUGCAGGAUUCUUUUACAAAUCCAUCCUUUCCUGAUUCCUGGUGUCGUGUAGCAAUUGUAACACCUCUCAAUAACUUUAAGGACACCCAAAUUAAUGAAUCAUGACAAUGGUCAAAUCAAUUACAAAG
rnacentral:lncRNA from 1 species